rnacentral:rRNA from 1 species
UACGUAGGGGGCAAGCGUUGUCCGGAUUUAUUGGGCGUAAAGAGCGUGUAGGCGGCCAAGCAGGUCCGCUGUGAAAACUCGAGGCUCAACCUCGAGAGGUCGGUGGAAACCGUUUGGCUAGAGUCCGGAAGAGGAGAGUGGAAUUCCCGGUGUAGCGGUGAAAUGCGCAGAUAUCGGGAGGAACACCAGUAGCGAAGGCGGCACUCUGGGCCGGUACUGACGCUGAGGAGCGAAAGCGUGGGGAGCAAACAGG